UCCAGACUCCUACGGGAGGCAGCAGUGGGGAAUAUUGCACAAUGGGGGAAACCCUGAUGCAGCGACGCCGCGUGAGUGAAGAAGUAUUUCGGUAUGUAAAGCUCUAUCAGCAGGGAAGAAAAAAGACGGUACCUGACUAAGAAGCCCCGGCUAACUACGUGCCAGCAGCCGCGGUAAUACGUAGGGGGCAAGCGUUAUCCGGAAUUACUGGGUGUAAAGGGUGCGUAGGUGGCAUGGUAAGUCAGAAGUGAAAGCCCGGGGCUUAACCCCGGGACUGCUUUUGAAACUGUCAUGCUGGAGUGCAGGAGAGGUAAGCGGAAUUCCUAGUGUAGCGGUGAAAUGCGUAGAUAUUAGGAGGAACACCAGUGGCGAAGGCGGCUUACUGGACUGUCACUGACACUGAUGCACGAAAGCGUGGGGAGCAAACAGGAUUAGAUACCCGGGUA
rnacentral:rRNA from 1 species